UCUCCGUAGGUGAACCUGCGGAGGGAUCAUUAACACUUUUUUUUUCUUUCUAUGUUUAGUAUAUUGAAAUGAAAUGAAAAAACAAUGAACUAUAACCAAAUCAAAUAUAUUUGAGGAUUGUAGAUUUGGAUGAAUUCUGAAUUUCUGAAUUCUGAAUUCUGAAUUCUGAAUUCGUUCUAUCUAUUUUUCUUCUUGUGAAUCUUUUUUUUUUCCUUUUUAAACUAUAUUCUAUGUUUUUGUGAUCUUUCACGAAUAUCAUAUACUAUAAACAAUUUGAAAAAACAGGAAGGAAACAGAGCCAAAAUAGAAACAAAAGUUUUUUAAAUCUCUUUUGUAACUAAACACAACUCUAUUUCUUUCUUUUGUUUUUUACUAAAUUUUUGUAUUCUUUUUAGUAAAAUGAAAAGAUUAUUGUUAAUUAAGAACAACUCUUAGCAAUGGAUAUCUUGGUUCCC
rnacentral:misc_RNA from 1 species